CCUACGUGAGGCAGCAGUAGGGAAUCUUCCACAAUGGGCGAAAGCCUGAUGGAGCAACGCCGCGUGGGUGAAGAAGGUCUUCGGAUCGUAAAACCCUGUUGUUAGAGAAGAAAGUGCGUGAGAGUAACUGUUCACGUUUCGACGGUAUCUAACCAGAAAGCCACGGCGAACUACGUGCCAGCAGCCGCGGGAAUACGUAGGUGGCAAGCGUUAUCCGGAUUUAUUGGGCGUAAAGGGAACGCAGGCGGUCUUUUAAGUCAGAUGUGAAAGCCAUCGGCUUAACCGGAGUAGUGCAUUGGAAACUGGGAGACUUGAGUGCAGAAGAGGCGAGUGGAACUCCAUGUGUAGCGGUGAAAUGCGUAGAUAUAGGGAAGAACACCAGUGGCGAAAGCGGCUCUCUGGUCUGUAACUGACGCUGAGGUUCGAAAGCGUGGGUAGCAAACAGGAUUAGAUACCCCAGUAGUC
rnacentral:rRNA from 1 species